UUGCAAAACGACCUUAAGGUGGUUAUUGCGGCGGGGCUCACCUCUUCCCAUCCCGAACAGAGUAGUUAAGCCCGCCUGCGCAGAUGGUACUGCAUUAUUGUGGGAGAGUAUGUCGUCGCCUUUC
rnacentral:rRNA from 2 species